AUGAUGUCAUGGAAACCAAGGUUGUGCACAGUUUUCAGAAGGACAGGGUGAGUAAAUGGAGCCAUGAAGUGACUGGUUUUUCACAAAUCAACUGGCUGGUAAAACUUUCACAAUGCCAAAUAUAAGGUCUAAUGUAUAACAAUUUUUGAAACUUCAUGUGGAAAAAUUAUUCAUUUCACCAGUGACAUUAGGAUCUACUUAUGACCUUUGUAGAUGCAAGCUUUUGCUCAAAUUCCCCUUGUUGGGAAUGGGAAACUGAUUCCUCUGAAAAUGGUGUCUGGAGUGAAGUGUUCUCAUAUUGUGGCUGUUAGGAAAGAAAAAAAGGAGCCAUCACAACAAAAUGAACUGAUGAAACAGCAGAGGAUAUUGAGGCACAGUUGUUAAAGAGGAUGAAUGAGUCACUGUGGUAUGCAAUCCAGGUUGAAAAGUCUAUCAAUGUUAACAAGGCAACAAGGCUUGCUUUUGUGUGAUAUAUUUUCAGAAGGAUGUGCAAGAGGAUAUGUCAUACGCACUUUUACUGCCAACCAACACCACAGCUGCAGAAUUAUUCAAGUCUUUGAAUGAUUACAUAUCAGAAAAAUGAAAUUGGUCAUUUUGUGUCAGUAUACGCACAGACAGAGAGGCUUCCAUAACUGGAUGUCCUUCUGGCUUCACAACUUGGGUCAGAUGGUCACUUCUGCAUGUGACUCCACACAUUGUGUCACCCAUAGAGAAAUACUAGCUAGCUGAAAAAUGUCACCUGAAUUUAGCAACAUUUUGCAGGAUAUCCUUAAAAUUAUCAACCACAUUAAGUACAUGCCCUUAACCCACAUCUGAUGGUGCAGCUCUGUGAGGAGAUGGACGCAGGGCACACACGUCAUCUCUUAUAUACAGAAGUGAUUGCUUUCUGUUAUUUUAUUUUAUAUUUUUUAUUUUAUUUUAUUUUAUUUUAUUUUAUUUUAUUUUAUUUUAUUUUAUGAGGCUGGAGUGCAAUGGCACAAUCUCGGCUCCUGCAACCUCCACCCCCAGGGUUCAAGCAAUUCUCCUGUCUCAGCCUCCUGAGUAGCUGGGAUUACAGGCAUGCGCCACCAAGCCCGGCUAAUUUUUGUACUUUUAGUGGAGAUUGGGUUUCACCAUGUUGGUCAGGCUGGUCUCGAACUCCUGACCUCGUGAUCCACCCACCUCGGCCUCCCAAAGUGCUGGGAUUACAGGCGUGAGCCACUGUGCCCAGCCAGAAGUGAUUGCUUUCUACAGGUAGAUUACUGGCCAGAGUUUUUGAGUUACAAGAGCCACUCCAGAGAUUUCUUUUAGAAAAACAGUCACCACUGGCAACACAUUUCAGUGACACAGAAUGGCUCACAAAACUUGCUUACUUAUGUAACAUAUUCAACCUGCUCAAUGAAGUCAAUCUGUUGUCACUUCAAGGGAGAAUGACAACAGUGUUCAAGUCAACAGAUAAAGUGGCUGCAUUCAAAGCCAAACUAGUAUUAUGAGGGCAAUGCAUAAACAUUGGGAUUUCUGACAUGUUUCAAACAUUAGCAGAAAUCUUGAAACAGACUGAGCCAGGGCCUUCUUUCUCCCAGCUGGUACAUGGAUCACCUAUCUCAGCUUUUUAAAGAAUCUGAGCAUUAAUUCCCAACCAUAAAAAAACCCGAACUGGGAAGAAAUGGAUCGCGACCCACUUGUAAAUUGCCAGGUAAAUCAACUUUGUCCACACUAGAAGAGAGUCAACUGCUUGAGACUGCAAAUGACAGUGGUCUUAAAAGUAUGUUUGAGACAACUUCAAGUCUCCAUACAUUUUGGAUUAGAGUCAAGGAAGAAUAUCCUGAGAUUGCCACAAAAGCACUGAAAAGCCUGCUUCCAUUUCCAAAAUCAUAUCUUUGUGAAGCAGGGUUUUCUGCAAUGAUAGCGACCAAAAUGAGAUUACAGAGUAGACUGGACAUAAUCAACAAACUUUGGGUGUCACUGACUCCCAACACUCCCAGAUGAGACCGUCUAGUUGUGGAAAACAAGCUCCGGGCUCCCACUGAUUCUACAUUAUGGUCUGUGGAGAAAUUGUCUUCCUCAAAACCAGACCCUGGUGCCAAAAAGGUUAGGGACUUCUGCUAUACACUGUGAAGUUAUCCUUCAAGAGCGAAAGAGAAAGACUUCCACAGACAAAAACUGAAGGAUUUUGUGGCCAGUAUAUCUGCUUUGCAAGAAAUGUUAAAAGCCUUCAGAGAGAAGGGAAAUGACACAGGUCAGAAACUCACAUCUAGACAAAGAAAGCAAGAGCAUCGGAGAAGGAAUAAGUGAAGGUAAAAAUUUUUAAAGCUUUAUUAUUCUUAAUUGAUCUAACAAGUGACAUUUUAAUUACAGC